GUGAAUCAUCGAAUUUUUGAACGCAAAUUGCACUCUCUUGGAAGACGAUGCCUAUUUGAGUUUCAGCCUAUAAAAAAACCACAUCGUGGCUGUUUCGCGGUGGCGGUCGUCGGAGAUUGGGUCAUCUUAAAUCCUUCUGAUUUAAGCGACUUAAAAUUUUCUUUUGGUUCCAUGAACGUAUCUAUUAUCUAUUUCUUUACACGUUUAAUGUAUCGAUUUUUAUUAGACGUGACCGUCAUAUCGGAUCUCGUCCAUAAUCUAUCAUUAACUGACCUCAG
rnacentral:misc_RNA from 1 species